rnacentral:rRNA from 1 species
GGUCAAGCGAAUAAGCGCACACGGUGGAUGCCUUGGCGGUCAGAGGCGAUGAAGGACGUGGCAGCCUGCGAAAAGUAUCGGGGAGCUGGCAACAAGCUUUGAUCCGGUAAUGUCCGAAUGGGGAAACCCACCCGCUUGCGGGUAUCCUGCAGUGAAUACAUAGCUGCUGGAAGCGAACCUGGUGAACUGAAAUAUCUAAGUAACCAGAGGAAAAGAAAUCAACCGAGAUUCCGUAAGUAGCGACGAGCGAACGCGGACUAGCCCUUAAGCUGAUUUGGUUCUAGGAAAACGCUCUGGAAAGAGCGGCCAUAGAAGGUGAUAGCCCUGUAUCUGAAAGGGCCAUUUCAGUGAAGACGAGUAGGGCGGGGCACGUGAAACCCUGUCUGAACAUGGGGGGACCAUCCUCCAAGGCUAAAUACUACUGACCGACCGAUAGUGAACCAGUACCGUGAGGGAAAGGCGAAAAGAACCCCGGAGAGGGGAGUGAAAUAGAACCUGAAACCGUGUGCGUACAAGCAGUAGGAGCUCCGCAAGGAGUGACUGCGUACCUUUUGUAUAAUGGGUCAGCGACUUACUGUUCGUGGCAAGCUUAACCGUAUAGGGGAGGCGAAGGGAAACCGAGUCUGAUAAGGGCGCAUAGUCGCGGGCAGUAGACCCGAAACCGGGUGAUCUAGUCAUGCCCAGGGUGAAGGUGCGGUAACACGCACUGGAGGCCCGAACCCACUCCCGUUGCAAAGGUAGGGGAUGAGGUGUGAUUAGGAGUGAAAAGCUAAUCGAACCCGGAGAUAGCUGGUUCUCCUCGAAAGCUAUUUAGGUAGCGCCUCAUAUGUAUCCUCUCGGGGGUAGAGCACUGUUAUGGCUAGGGGGUCAUCGCGACUUACCAAACCAUUGCAAACUCCGAAUACCGAGACGGACUGUAUGGGAGACACACGGCGGGUGCUAACGUCCGUCGUGAAAAGGGAAACAACCCAGACCCACAGCUAAGGUCCCAAAUUUUGUGCUAAGUGGAAAACCAUGUGGAAAGGCACAGACAGCCAGGAGGUUGGCUUAGAAGCAGCCACCCUUUAAAGAAAGCGUAAUAGCUCACUGGUCGAGUCGGUCUGCGGGGAAGAUUUAACGGGGCUAAGCACAGAACCGAAGCUUGGGGUGCAUACUUUGUAUGCGCGGUAGAGGAGCGUUCCGUAAGCCGUUGAAGGUGGAUUGAGAAGUCUGCUGGAGGUAUCGGAAGUGCGAAUGCUGACAUGAGUAACGAUAAUGCGGGUGAAAAACCCGCACGCCGAAAGCCCAAGGUUUCCUUGCGCAACGUUAAUCGGCGCAGGGUGAGUCGGCCCCUAAGGCGAGGACGAAAGUCGUAGUCGAUGGGAAGCAGGUUAAUAUUCCUGCACCUCGCGUAAGUGCGAUGGAGGGACGGAGAAGGUUAGGUGUACCAGGCGUUGGUUGUCCUGGGGAAAGGCGGUAGGUUUGGAUCUUUGGCAAAUCCGGGAUCCUCUAAGACCGAGCACCGAGACGAGCCUUUAAGGCGAAGUCACUGAUACCACGCUUCCAGGAAAAGCUCCUAAGCUUCAGCUUACGCAGACCGUACCGUAAACCGACACAGGUGGGUAGGAUGAGAAUUCUCAGGCGCUUGAGAGAACUCGGGUGAAGGAACUAGGCAACAUGGCACCGUAACUUCGGGAGAAGGUGCACCCUUUUUGGUGGCUCGUGCGAGCUAUAGCUGAAGAGGGUCGCAGUAACCAGGCCGCUGCGACUGUUUAUCAAAAACACAGCACUCUGCAAACACGAAAGUGGACGUAUAGGGUGUGACGCCUGCCCGGUGCUGGAAGGUUAAUUGAUGGGGUCAGCCGCAAGGCGAAGCUCUUGAUCGAAGCCCCAGUAAACGGCGGCCGUAACUAUAACGGUCCUAAGGUAGCGAAAUUCCUUGUCGGGUAAGUUCCGACCUGCACGAAUGGCGUAACGACAGCGGCGCUGUCUCCACCCGAGACUCAGUGAAAUUGAAAUCGCUGUGAAGAUGCAGCGUUCCCGUGGCAAGACGGAAAGACCCCGUGAACCUUUACUAUAGCUUUACACUGAACGUUGAGUUCGUCUGUGUAGGAUAGGUGGGAGGCUAUGAAACUGUGGCGCUAGCUGCAGUGGAGCCAUCCUUGAAAUACCACCCUGUCGUGCUUGACGUUCUAACCUGGGCCCAUUAUCUGGGUCGGGGACCGUGUAUGGUGGGUAGUUUGACUGGGGCGGUCUCCUCCUAAAGAGUAACGGAGGAGCUCGAAGGUACGCUCAGCGCGGUCGGACAUCGCGCACUGUGUGCAAAGGCAUAAGCGUGCUUGACUGCAAGAUCGACGGAUCAAGCAGGUAGGAAACUAGGACUUAGUGAUCCGGUGGUUCUGUAUGGAAGGGCCAUCGCUCAACGGAUAAAAGGUACUCCGGGGAUAACAGGCUGAUACCGCCCAAGAGUUCAUAUCGACGGCGGUGUUUGGCACCUCGAUGUCGGCUCAUCACAUCCUGGGGCUGUAGUCGGUCCCAAGGGUAUGGCUGUUCGCCAUUUAAAGUGGUACGCGAGCUGGGUUCAGAACGUCGUGAGACAGUUCGGUCCCUAUCUGCCAUGGGCGUUGGAGAUUUGAGAGGGGCUGCUCCUAGUACGAGAGGACCGGAGUGGACGAACCUCUGGUGUUCCGGUUGUCACGCCAGUGGCAUUGCCGGGUAGCUAUGUUCGGAAGCGAUAACCGCUGAAAGCAUCUAAGCGGGAAGCGCGCCUCAAGAUGAGAUCUCCCGGGGCACAAGCCCCCUGAAGGAACCAUGUAGACUACGUGGUUGAUAGGUCAGGUGUGUAAGUACAGCAAUGUAUUGAGCUAACUGAUACUAAUGAUCCGAGAGGCUUGACCAU